rnacentral:rRNA from 1 species
GGCUCAGAUUGAACGCUGGCGGCAGGCCUAACACAUGCAAGUCGAACGGUAACAGGAAGCAGCUUGCUGCUUUGCUGACGAGUGGCGGACGGGUGAGUAAUGUCUGGGAAACUGCCCGAUGGAGGGGGAUAACUACUGGAAACGGUAGCUAAUACCGCAUAACGUCGCAAGACCAAAGAGGGGGACCUUCGGGCCUCUUGCCAUCGGAUGUGCCCAGAUGGGAUUAGCUAGUAGGUGGGGUAACGGCUCACCUAGGCGACGAUCCCUAGCUGGUUUGAGAGGAUGACCAGCCACACUGGAACUGAGACACGGUCCAGACUCCUACGGGAGGCAGCAGUGGGGAAUAUUGCACAAUGGGCGCAAGCCUGAUGCAGCCAUGCCGCGUGUAUGAAGAAGGCCUUCGGGUUGUAAAGUACUUUCAGCGGGGAGGAAGGGAGUAAAGUUAAUACCUUGCUCAUGACGUACCCGCAGAA